UUGCGGUUUCCGUUUCCGCAUUCUUCCUCAUCUUCCUCGUUCCUCAUUGUUCCAUUGGCAUUUUCAUCGAUUGUUGAAAAAGUUCGUUAAUUGAAUAUUAAUUAGUGAAUUUUUAAUAGUAUUCAUUAUUAUUUAAAGAAGUAGUUUUUGAUUAGUAGCCGCACGAGUCCCGUGAAUGAAAUGAAGCAAUGGAUAGGUUUAGAUUAAAAAAACCAAAAAAGUGUUUUAAAAACAUUGUAAGAUGGAACAAUUUAAAAAUAACAAAUAGAGAGUAAAGCAACAAAAAAUGGUAUUGGGAAAAUUUUUUUAUUGACGUUUUGGAUCUUCGGCAAAAUUCCUGCAGGACAUCGAAGAGAAAGGGUCUAUUUGGUUCAGGAGGGGAUUUUCCAAAAGAGGUUCAGCAGUCCAGCAACGAGAUAUCAUCGAUCA